AGUAAAUUGGUUAAGUUAGAAAGGGCGCACGGUGGAUGCCUUGGCACUAGGAGCCGAAGAAGGACGGGACUAACACCGAUAUGCUUUGGGGAGCUGUACGUAAGCGUUGAUCCAGAGAUUUCCGAAUGGGGGAACCCACUAUCUUUAGUCGGAUAGUAUCCUUACGUGAAUACAUAGCGUGAGGAAGGCAGACCCAGGGAACUGAAACAUCUAAGUACCUGGAGGAAGAGAAAGAAAAAUCGAUUUCCUGAGUAGCGGCGAGCGAAACGGAAAGAGCCCAAACCAAGAAGCUUGCUUCUUGGGGUUGUAGGACACUCUAUACGGAGUUACAAAAGAAAGUUAUAAAUGAAGCGGUCUGGAAAGGCCCGCCAAAGACGGUAACAGCCCGGUAGUUGAAAUGGCUUUCCCUCCAGAGUGGAUCCUGAGUACGGCGGAACACGUGAAAUUCCGUCGGAAUCCGGGAGGACCAUCUCCCAAGGC
rnacentral:rRNA from 1 species